rnacentral:rRNA from 1 species
CGGGGGUAUCGACCCCCUCGGUGCCGCAGCUAACGCAUUAAGUACCCCGCCUGGGGAGUACGGUCGCAAGAUUGAAACUCAAAGGAAUUGACGGGGGCCCGCACAAGCGGUGGAGUAUGUGGUUUAAUUCGAAGCAACGCGAAGAACCUUACCUGGGUUUGACAUGCUUGAGACAACCGGUGAAAGCCGGUCUUCCCUUCGGGGACUCUUGCACAGGUGCUGCAUGGCUGUCGUCAGCUCGUGCCGUGAGGUGUUGGGUUAAGUCCCGCAACGAGCGCAACCCUUGUCCAUAGUUGCCAGCUAGUAAUGUAGGGAACUCUAUGGAGACUGCCGGUGACAAGCCGGAGGAAGGUGAGGAUGACGUCAAGUCCUCAUGGCCCUUACACCCAGGGCUACACACGUACUACAAUGGCCGGUACAGAAGGUCGCAAUAUCGUGAGAUGGAGCCAAUCCUCAAAACCGGCCUCAGUUCAGAUUGGAGUCUGCAACUCGACUCCAUGAAGGAGGAAUCGCUAGUAAUCGCUGAUCAGCAGGCAGCGGUGAAUACGUUCCCGGGCCUUGUACACACCGCCCGUCAAGCCACGGAAGUUGGGAGCACCCGAAGUCGUUUGCUUAACCGCAAGGAUGGCGAUGCCUAAGGUGAAACCGAUGACUGGGGCUAAGUCGUAACAAGGUAGCCG